rnacentral:rRNA from 1 species
CCCUUAGAUGUCCUGGGCCGCACGCGCGCUACACUGAUGCAUUCAACGAGUUUCUUCCUGGUCCGAGAGGAAUGGGUAACCUUUUGAAAGUGCAUCGUGAUAGGGAUAGACUAUUGCAAUUAUUGGUCUUCAACGAGGAAUUCCUAGUAGACGUAGUUCAUCAGACUGCAUCGAUUACGUCCCUGCCCUUUGUACACACCGCCCGUCGCUCCUACCGAUUGAAUGCUCAGGUGAGCCAUUCGGACUUUCAUCAUGCUGGUUUCCAGUUUUGAUGAAGGAAAGUCUUGCGAACCUUAUCAUUUAGAGGAAGGAGAAGUCGUAACA